AUAGCAUCUGCACAUCAGAAAGGGCUGGAUGGAUCAAAACAAGGAUCGCAGGAGAGGAACUGCAAGGCACUGAGCGGCCACUCUAAGUCCCAGGGACCUCGAAGUCUUUAUCCUGCUGAAUGCUCACAAACCACCUCUGAGGCAGGACCGGUCUCCUCACUUCACACGUGAGAGAGUCAACAUUCAGAAAAGUCAGUGCUGAAGCCUGAAGUCACAGGUUGGGUGGACAAUGGAGCCAGGCUUUUCCCAGAUCUCGCUGAAUAAACUGCUCACGGGCUUUCUAUUCUACUGUAUGUUGCUGAGAUGACCGUCCCAGAAUGGCCCCACCCUUGCUAAACUGGGAGCUGCCUGGAACUAAGGGAAGUCUCAGAAGUUUCUAAUGGAGCAUCCCCUGACUCCCACCAUACUGCUACCCAUGGAGAGAAUUUACGGUUUGGGAUUGCUGGUGCAACGUACAGCGGCUGCACAACAAGCCAAGAAGACCCAAUGAUUCAUGGCUGAUGAAGACCACCAGGGAGAAGGAUUCUCUCCUACUUGGG
rnacentral:lncRNA from 1 species